rnacentral:rRNA from 1 species
CCCUUAGAUGUUCUGGGCCGCACGCGCGCUACACUGAUGCAUUCAACGAGUCUAAAACCUGCUCUGAUAGGGGUGGGUAAUCUUUUGAAUGUGCAUCGUGAUUGGGAUAGAUGAUUGCAAUUUUUCAUCUUCAACGAGGAAUGCCUAGUAAACGCAAGUCAUCAGCUUGCAUUGAUUACGUCCCUGCCCUUUGUACACACCGCCCGUCGCACCUACCGAUUGAAUGGUCCGGUGAAAUCUUCGGAUCUGAGAGAUGUUGGAUUAAUUUCUGACGCCUUUUGGAAAAGUCGCUUAAACCUUAUCAUUUAGAGGAAGGUGAAGUCGUAACA